CAUCCCAUUCUAGUGCGUCUUCACUUGGACCAUUUAGAUCCAUCAAACUUGGAUCAAUAAAGUUCAGAGACUCUGGAUCUUUUUCCAGUCUCUUCUGUAGCCUUGUUUGCCACUGGACAGCUUGCAUGACAAUGGCUUCCCACCUCCUCUCAAGGUUUACGAUUAUCAGCUGCAUGGACUGGUGAUCUGCGCUCAGGUUGCAGGUCUCCUGG
rnacentral:lncRNA from 1 species